GAGGAGAAUGUGUCUGAAGAAAUGAGAUUUCUCUGCAUGUUCAGAAAAACUGGUAUUAAAAUGAUAUUCUAAAGAAAUACUAAUGAAAAAGAAGAAAGCUCUUUUUUUUCAUUUGAAGGCAGAAGAUUCAAGCAACAAAAAACCAGGUAACACGUACAGAAUUCUUUCGGUAUGAAGACUAGUUAAAAAGAAAAGAGAUUUGAAAAAGAUAAAGAAAUAAAAGGAAAUUUAUUAUUAACAAAACACUAAAAAGAAGAUUCAAGUGUACCUUGCAGCCUUUGAGCUAAGUUGAGAACCUAGAACCAGAAGAAAUAUAAAGCAGAUGAAUAACAGAAUAGAGACUGAAAGCAUAUGAAAAGUUCAAUGCCAAAGGCUUGUGGGAUUUUUUAAAUGAUUACCUAGAUAACAAUGAUGACCAGCAAUCCUUGCUAUUUGCGAUCCCUGUCUUGAAAGUAAUGUCUGUAGAGAUGUUCAGAAAGCAAAAUUUAAAAAGCUUCCAAGGUACUAAACUAGCAGACAGAUAAAGCUUUAAGCUUAAUCACAUAAAGAAGUGGCGGGAAAGGAGAACUGUGGCGUUAAUACAGACAAGAACAACAUCAUUAAUCACAGAAAUUUCGGCUUGGAAUCCCAAAGUCCGUUACAACUUGAUCCUGUAAAACUAACAAUUCAAGACAAUUCUAAGAGAAAGGCGAAAGGAUAGCCGUUAAAUGGCCACGUCAUAACGCAUCAAAAAAGUGUUGCAACCUUGCAGUUUAAUGCCAUUAUGGCAUUAUCCGAAACAGAUCAGGGAAGAAUUAUAAGUAAAUAUCUACCAUAAAUCUUGGACUCCAUCACAAACAAUGAUUUCAUCAAUACAAUUUCCGGACCUGUUCUGAAAUUGCCAGGAGGAAGACCCAAAAAGUUUUUAAAAAUACUCCAAAAGAAUGCCACCCCCAUAGAAUUUCACGAUUCCUUCUCCAACAUGAGAAAGCAAUGUUCUUUCAAAAAAAACAUGAGAAAGCAAUGUUGUGCAACAGAUUGAUAUAUCACCCAACCCUAAUAGCGCAGGUGCAAACAUGUUGAUUCCCAAUAAACUCAGAAACAAACAAAAGGAGUAAAGGCAAAGCAAUCCAAGACAAUCCGCCACAUACUAAACGGUUCUAAAAGCUAAAAACAUCUCAUCACUUCUCCAGACGCAACCUCAAGAUAAAGUUUUUACUUGGUUCCCAGUAUACAAUAAAUAUAUACUUCUAUCAUAAACUUCAAACCAUAAACAGGCAUUGAAAUUGGCACAAUUCAGAAUUCAGAAAUUUCAAUAUAAAGGUUAUCAAACUCAUCACCUCUUUAGCUGCAGUGCCAUACCAUCGUGGAGCUAACUCCCCAGUUGAUCGAGUAUUCCUCAAAGAUUUCCCAAUAAUCUAUUCCCCUCAACAGAAAGGAAGAACACAAUCCAGUUAAAACACAGAAGAUUAUUUAAUUCCAACCCAAUUUCCUUCAGACACAAACAGACACGUAAAGACAAUUAGAUAUAAUAAAGAAAUCAGCAUCCGAAUAACUAAAUAGGAUGAGUAUCAAACUAACCAGAGAAGCAGAGGAGCCGCCAUGAGCAGCUUUUCGCCUUAUAGUCGACCACAUCAUUUCUCCGUUAACGACAAGAGCUGGAAAAAAAAAAUCACCAAAUUAACAAAAAGAGAAUUGUUAAGAUUUUCCAUUUCCCUAAUAAUACAGAAGAUCAUAUAUUCGAUAUAACACCUAUAAUUUUCCGAUUAGCUACCCAAUACAGAUCUGAGAAGCAUAAACUCAUACAGGGUUAUUGAUAUCCAUACCCAUGUACACACACACACAUAUAUGUAUAAACAUACACUCCAUGCAUAUAGAAAUUUUAUAUAAACACCAGUAGAUCGAGAGAGACACCUGAUUACCGACGAUGAACAAAGGUUACGUCUAGGGUUGCCGAGAAAGGGUCAGUCAAAAGAGGCUCUGGGUUUAUUAAUUUGAGAGAGGGUCCGAGAGAAAAUGAGGAAAGUUGUCAGCUUGGAAUAGGAUCCAAUAAUGGUGAUUUUCAUUAUUCAAGAAAAAU
rnacentral:lncRNA from 1 species